ACAACAACAUUCGGACCGUCGGUCUACUGAGCAAUAUCACCCGCUCGGUGGAAGAUCUUCCCUUUGUCGUUUAAA
rnacentral:pre_miRNA from 1 species